rnacentral:rRNA from 1 species
CUAGCCUUCUGUCAGCGGUCUGGAGGCUCCCAGUUCUGGCAGUCCAUCAUUCAGUUGCUCCCGGUCCUCCGCAUCGGGACCUCUAUUUUGAUCGGUUUUGGCGCGUCCACCCUGUUCUGGUUCGACUAUUGGGCCAGCGACCACCCUUUCGCGGCUUGUUUCCCGGACUUGUUCGCCAUCACGGUCGAACCUAGGAUCUCUGUCGAGGUGGCCCUUAUUGACUUAGGGCACCUCGCGUUCUGGCGUCCGUUCAGGCCUAUGGAGGCUCUCGACUGGCAAGACCUCCUAAACUGCAUCGGCCUACAUAAGCCUAACUUGGAGUAGGCGAACGACCGCUCGUGACGGCUAGAGCAAUCGGGUAGCUUCUCCUCUAAAUCCCUUUACCAGGCCAUCGUGGUGACACCGGGACCAGAGCUUCUCGUGGUGAUCUGUGCAAUCCGGCUCCCGCUAAAGAUUAGGAUAUUCCUGUGGCAAUGGAUCUGA